ACUCCUACGGGAGGCAGCAGUGGGGAAUAUUGGACAAUGGGCGAAAGCCUGAUCCAGCAAUGCCGCGUGUGUGAAGAAGGUUUUCGGAUUGUAAAGCACUUUCGGCGGGGACGAUGAUGACGGUACCCGCAGAAGAAGCCCCGGCUAACUUCGUGCCAGCAGCCGCGGUAAUACGAAGGGGGCUAGCGUUGCUCGGAAUGACUGGGCGUAAAGGGCGCGUAGGCGGUUGACACAGUCAGGCGUGAAAUUCCUGGGCUUAACCUGGGGGCUGCGCUUGAUACAUGUCGGCUUGAGUGUGGAAGAGGGUCGUGGAAUUCCCAGUGUAGAGGUGAAAUUCGUAGAUAUUGGGAAGAACACCGGUGGCGAAGGCGGCGACCUGGUCCAUUACUGACGCUGAGGCGCGAAAGCGUGGGGAGCAAACAGGAUUAGAUACCCUGGUAGUCCACGCCGUAAACGAUGUGUGCUGGAUGUUGGGUGGC
rnacentral:rRNA from 1 species